CGUCAUCGCAGGUCCUGCAGCCCCAGGAGGUGAGAUCUGCAGGUUUCUUAGGUGCAGGACUCUCUUCUUUUUAGAGCCAAUGGACCUUUCCAUCAAGGACCCACCAAGGAUGGAGAAGGACAGAGACCACAUGGCUGCGAGGAUAUUAGACCUCACCCUGGAGAUCAUCUCCUUGAUAACUGGAGAGGAUUACACAGUAGUGAAGAAGUCGUCUGGUGAGUGUGUGACACCCCGUGUGUCAGGAGG